UACGUAGGGGGCAAGCGUUGUCCGGAUUUAUUGGGCGUAAAGAGCGUGUAGGCGGCCAUACAGGUCCGUUGUGAAAACUCGAGGCUUAACCUCGAGACGUCGAUGGAAACCGUAUGGCUAGAGUCCGGAAGAGGAGAGUGGAAUUCCUGGUGUAGCGGUGAAAUGCGCAGAUAUCAGGAAGAACACCCGUGGCGAAGGCGGCUCUCUGGGACGGUACCGACGCUGAGACGCGAAAGCGUGGGGAGCGAACAGG
rnacentral:rRNA from 1 species